rnacentral:rRNA from 1 species
UACGUAGGGUGCGAGCGUUGUCCGGAAUUACUGGGCGUAAAGAGCGCGUAGGUGGUUCGUCGCGUCGUCUGUGAAAUUCCGGGGCUUAACUCCGGCCGGGCAGUCGAUACGGGCAAACUGGAGUGCUGUAGGGGAGACUGGAAUUCCUGGUGUAGCGGUGGAAUGCGCAGAUAUCAGGAGGAACACCGAUGGCGAAGGCGACUUUCUGGCA